AUCUAAGUACCCCGAGGAAAAGAAAUCAACCGAGAUUCCCCCAGUAGCGGCGAGCGAACGGGGAGGAGCCCAGAGCCUGAAUCAGCAUGUGUGUUAGUGGAAGCGUCUGGAAAGGCGCGCGAUACAGGGUGACAGCCCCGUACACAAAAGCGCAUGUGCUGUGAGCUCGAUGAGUAGGGCGGGACACGUGGUAUCCUGUCUGAAUAUGGGGGGACCAUCCUCCAAGGCUAAAUACUCCUGACUGACCGAUAGUGAACCAGUACCGUGAGGGAAAGGCGAAAAGAACCCCGGCGAGGGGAGUGAAAAAGAACCUGAAACCGUGUACGUACAAGCAGUGGGAGCACAGGUUUACCUG
rnacentral:rRNA from 1 species